AUCGAGAGCUGCGACCCAGCUGAACAUGAUAUGUGCGCUACAGCUUGUACCUAUAUUUUCGUAAGAAUGUAGCCCAGAAAGUAUGUGGAUAAGCACUUUGAAAUGUACUGAGUAUGUGGGGGUGCAUCCAACAAUAUAAAUAGUAUAAUCAAUUUCAUGAAAACAUACAUACGGACAAUGAUGACACACUUGGCUUGAGUUAUAUCAAAUCAUACUUUUUGUAAUUUCAUAAUAAACAGUUCAUAUGAUAAAA
rnacentral:lncRNA from 1 species